AUUUCCCCUUCUCAUUAUUCCCUUUAUUUUUGAAGACAGAUGAGAUCAGUGCGUCAGAAGCAGAGGUCCAGUUGUGUAAUUUGAUGUGCAGUACGUUCAGGAGCAUGUGUCUGUGUAUCUGUGAGCUAUAUUUGGAUGUACAGUCUAUUAAAAGCCCGGUGCAGUCACCCCCCGGCAGGAGUCAGAGCCCCCAUCCGUGGUGUUGACUGCCUCAGGAGAGGACUGGAGCCCACCCCUGCUUGACUUCUUUUCUCCAGGACGAUGGCUAAAGACAGCAUAUCCCUGCGCUCCCUGAGCAAGACAUUAAACAGAGUAGAAAGCAGGCUGCAAGCCUUGGAGACGCGGUUCCAAGACCUGGACUCAAGCCUGCAGAAGCUGGAGCAGAAGUUUGAGGUGCAGGCCGAGCUCCUGGAGAAGGAGAGGAGCCAGGACACAGCGUGGACAUCAGCGCUGGAAGACAGCCAGACCGCACAGCGCCGCUCCCAGCCGGAAGCUGCAGCCCAGCUGCGGGGCCGCGCGGCACGGAGCGCUGCGGCUCUUCCUGUUUGCUGCUCCCACACGGAGCGCGGCGCCUCGGCCGGCCUUCCCGCAGGGCGGUGAGGGCGGAGCGCGGCGAGGGAAGGCCUGUGAGCGCCGGAACUAGGAGCCUCCUGCCCGGCCGCGGAUCCGCAGCCUCCCUGUGAGGAUCCCCGCCCUUCUGCUGGACCUGCAGGCCUUCCUUCUCCCCGCUCUGCGCGCAGUAAUCUGCGCGUAUGCCAGCUGAAACUUCUUGGCCCAGCAGAGCUUAAGCAAAUAAAUGAAUGUGGAAGACCUUCUCCCUAAGGAAAACCCUGUGAUAGAUAGGGAGAAUGUUGUAUUUCACCUUCACGUGCAGCUAAGCUGUACUAGAAUCAACUUCUGAAGGCUGCACAUAUAGCAAAAAAAUGGACUAAUUUGAAAGUUAAUUCAGUAACUGUGAUAACAUCCACCAAGCAUGACCUUAGCUUGUAACUAUGAGAAAAUAAAUGCUGGAAGACUUUCUUUA
rnacentral:lncRNA from 1 species